rnacentral:rRNA from 1 species
AGAACGAACGCUGGCGGCAUGCCUAAUACAUGCAAGUCGAACGAACUCUUCGGAGUUAGUGGCGCACGGGUGCGUAACGCGUGGGAACCUGCCCCUUGGUUCGGAAUAACAGUUGGAAACGACUGCUAAUACCGGAUGAUGACGAAAGUCCAAAGAUUUAUCGCCAAGGGAUGAGCCCGCGUAGGAUUAGCUAGUUGGUGAGGUAAAGGCUCACCAAGGCAACGAUCCUUAGCUGGUCUGAGAGGAUGAUCAGCCACACUGGGACUGAGACACGGCCCAGACUCCUACGGGAGGCAGCAGUGGGGAAUACGUUG